CAGCACCUCAAGUGGUCAGGAUGAUUAUUGGGCCUAAAGCAUCCGUAGCCGGCGCUGUAAGUUUUCGGUUAAAUCUGUACGCUCAACGUACAGGCUGCCGGGAAUACUGCAGAGCUAGGGAGUGGGAGAGGUAGACGGUACUCGGUAGGAAGGGGUAAAAUCCUUUGAUCUAUUGAUGACCACCUGUGGCGAAGGCGGUCUACCAGAACACGUCCGACGGUGGGGGAUGAAAGCUGGGGGAGCAAACCGGAUUAGAUACCCGAGUAGUCC
rnacentral:rRNA from 1 species